rnacentral:piRNA from 1 species
UGAUCAUGGUAACAGCAUCCCUAUUGCUUC